GUCCACGCCGUAAACGAUGUCUACUAGCCGUUGGGGUCCUUGAGGCCUUAGUGGCGCAGCUAACGCACUAAGUAGACCGCCUGGGGAGUACGGUCGCAAGAUUAAAACUCAAAUGAAUUGACGGGGGCCCGCACAAGCGGUGGAGCAUGUGGUUUAAUUCGAAGCAACGCGAAGAACCUUACCAGGUCUUGACAUCCCCGGAACUGUCUGGAAACAGAUGGGUGCCUUCGGGAAUCGGGUGACAGGUGCUGCAUGGCU
rnacentral:rRNA from 1 species